rnacentral:rRNA from 1 species
GCAAGCCUAACGGAGCAACGCCGCGUGCAGGAGGAAGGCCUUCGGGUUGUAAACUGCUUUUAACGGGGACGAUUAUGACGGUACCCGUAGAAUAAGGAUCGGCUAAUUCCGUGCCAGCAGCCGCGGUCAUACGGAAGAUCCGAGCGUUAUCCGGAAUUACUGGGCGUAAAGAGUGCGUAGGUGGCAUGUAAAGCGAACAGUGAAAGGUCCCGGCUCAACCGGGAAUACAUUGUUCGAACUCACAAGCUUGAGCAUGAGAGAGGUACCUGGAAUUCCUAGUGUAGGAGUGAAAUCCGUAGAUAUUAGGAGGAACACCGAUGGCGUAGGCAGGGUACUGGCUCAUUGCUGACACUAAGGCACGAAAGCGUG